UUUAUGUGAAAUGGUCAUGUCUGUUUGACUUGAGAGCAGUUCGGUCCUUCAGAUAAUUUGUGUGUCAUGAACGUAGGAGUAGCUGAGGAUUCUGCUCCAGAUGUAUUCAGUCAGCAGAGCUGUGAGGGACCAGGAGUCCUGCCAGGGGCCGUGACGGCCCUCUGGGUCACGCCUCACAGGGUUCUUCACAGUCAGCUUCGGGAAAUCAAGCUCAGCAGCGAGCUGAGUGCCAUUCAGAAACACACAGAGCACGGGCCUAGCAGACCCUGGGUCCACCAGGCGCUCCACCGUUGGGAACAGGAAGGGUGAAGACCCAAAGUCUACCGAAAGGCUCGUGAAGCAGUUCCUCAGCUCAAGCGGUGCCGAGACGCCUGCAAUCAGGGUUAAGCUGGAAGUCCUUCACUCACCCACAAGGCCCUCAGAUGAGAGGGCGCCGGAGCCACAGCUGUGCUCCUGCCGGGCAGAGUGCAAAUCCUUCUGAGUGCGCCUCACACGCUCCGUGUUCUGACGCAAAGCUGCACUGCGUCUGCGGUGGCUGAACCUGCUCUCCUUCGCGUUGAACCUUUCCUCAGCCUUGUUCUGCAGGAAGCUCAAUGUUGACUGUACAAUAAGCAUCCGCGCAGUGCCCUCCUCGGGCUGAAGCCUCCACCGUCAACUGGUGGCUCGAACACUGCUGUCCGCCAGAUUGCUCUGGAAGCCUUGGAGGACACAAUUCGACAGCAGUUUACCCUGUAAAAUUUUACACUGAAAAUUCGGUUUUGCUGGAUUUUACGUUUGUUGACAUUUAUUUUUCUUUUAGUAUGCAGAUUAAAUACGUCCCUCUUGAUAACAAAACAUUU